rnacentral:rRNA from 1 species
AAACUUCUUUUGUACGGGAAUAACCCUCCGGACGUGUCCGGAGCUGAAGGUACCGUAAGAAUAAGGAUCGGCUAACUCCGUGCCAGCAGCCGCGGUAAUACGGAGGAUCCAAGCGUUAUCCGGAUUUACUGGGUUUAAAGGGUGCGUAGGCGGAUUAAUAAGUCAGUGGUGAAAGCCUGCAGCUUAACUGCAGAACUGCCAUUGAUACUGUUAGUCUGGAGUAUGGUUGAGGUAGCUGGAAUGUGUCAUGUACGGUGAAAUGCUUAAG